AUAUAUUGUGAUUUUUAAAUGUAAUGAAAUGAAAAUUACUGUUUGCUCUGCACUAAACUUUACAGAGCAGCAUGAAUCAAACAGGCAGUCUAAAUCACGGGUCACCAAUAUGGCACCCAUGUGCCCAAAGAGGCCUGUCCUUUCUUAUCCCUAUGCUGAAGUUUGACUCAAUGCAACACUACAACCGAAUAGGCUGCACAGUGUGCUAGGUUGUGAGGUGUGUGUAAUGACCACAGUUUGCAGAGGUACCCAUAGGCCUAAUUUUGUUUUGGCAUCUCAUGAUCUAAACCAAUUGCUGCCUUUAUACAACUUUCUUUAAUGUUCUCAAUGGAAAGCAUUUCAGCCUGGAAUCAUCACUCUUCCAGUUCCACCACCAUCCUUCCUUCCUGAACUGAUUUCCCUCUCUCUUGUUGCCCGUGAUGUUUGGAAGGACCUCCCAGCAUACCUGCAUGAUGCCUCCUCUCCCAUUCAUUCAUUCAUUCAUUCAACCUGGACAGCUCUAAAAGGUGAUUAGACCAAUACAUGGAUAAGACUACCAGUGACCACUAGCCAUGAUGGCUAUGACCUACCUCCAGUAUUAGAGGCGGCAUGUCUCUGAAUACCAGUUGCUGAGGGGCACAAGUGGGAAGAUCAGCACUUCUCAUGGGCACCUGGCUGACCACUAUGAGAACAGGUUGCUGGGCUGACUAUCCGUGGAUGUGCCUUUUUAGGAAAAGGAGUCAAUCCACUCAGAAGAUGGGGUUAAACCUCUUUUGACAAUAAGACCACACCGUCCGCAUAACAAUACUUUCCAUUCCAUUUCAGAACUUCAGGUGGGGAAACUACAUUGUUAUAACCUUAUUUAACUAGAAAGGAAUUGAGCAGGUUUCUUUGCUUUCUCAGUUCCAACACUCUUAAUGCUGGAAUCAGGCAAUUGUUUCUGCAGCUUAAAAGUCAACUUCAUGCUAAGAAGAAGAGACUGCAGAUGCCCUUCAGAGUUCUUGCACUACCAGUGCCUUCUGCAGAGCUUUGCAAGCUGCUAAGCUGCAAGUUAAUCAUUAGAAGAAGACCUACUAUAAACCUAGCGUUUAUGGAAAGUUUAGUUUAUGAUGGGGGAUGGGAAGAAGGGGUUGCAAUAAAGAUUUAUUACGACAAUGAAUGACUUGCUCUAACCUUGACACCGUUUACCCAAGGAGAGGCUGGUUUAAUUGCCCAGAUUGCCUUUGAUUGGGUGAGAGUUGGGGAACCCAGGAACAUACUGAAUUCAGAUGGAACAGGAAAUAGGAAAACUAUUGGUUUGUGCAAGGAUAACUAAUUAACAGGUAAGUUACUGGUUGGCUCUGAAAAAGAUCACAGGCAAACUGCUGAAUCCUGCCCUUUUACAACACAGUCCAGUGAGGCCAUAGUGCAGUAGGAAUGUAAGAACGUAAGAGGAGCUCUGUUGGAUCAGGCCAAAGGCCCAUCUAGUUCAGCAUCCUGUUUGCACAGUGGGUAGCCAGAUGGAUAAGGGAAGCCUGCAAAGCGGUGUGGACCAAGGAGCUGCUCAAACUGUUGCAUUCCUCAGUUCUGUUGUGCACAGGAAAAAUGAUGGCAUGGAGACAGGUUUGCGUAAACCAGGCUGGAAGGAGCAAGCUGCCUUUUCAGUUUUCAAUGAGGGGGAAAUGAAGCCACGGGCAUAGAAAUGUCUGACCAUCCCCAUGUGUUUAGUUUGGGUCUCCCUUGUCUUUCACCACAUGAACCAAUCCAUCCUUGUGCAUCAUGCACAUAAUGUGACAGUGCAGUGAGGAUUACAGAUGUAUCCUGGAAAAUGCUAUGCCACGCCAUGCCACCAUAUCAAAGUUUUCUUUUCAUGAACAUCCCCAACCUCAAUGCAAGAAAGGGAAGUCCUACAUUUUACUAACAAUGGGCAAAUUGUUCUCACAUCAUUAAUUCAUUUCAGGUCACCAUUGUGACCUAAGAUGUGAAGAGUCCCACGUGCUGUUUCCUUCUUACGCAACACAAACAAGUGUUGUGUGAGGCUGCUCUUAUAUAUAGGCUGGGCCAGGAGGCUGGAGGGCAGGGACCACCAGCCUCCGUUGCUGGACUCCUGUGGUUCCUUAAUGCAAAGGCACUUUUCACAUGCAAAUGAUAACAGGAUCAUAAACAGGCUGUAAUGGUAGGCAUGCUUACUUCAUGGUUAACUCCAUCAAAUAAAUAGGACUUAUUUCAAAGAAAACGUGUUCAGAAUGGCAGUGUGUACCAUUACUGAUCUUUUAGAAAUCUAACUUGUGGGACAAAACUCCACCUCUUCCAGAUUACAUGUUGCUCCCCACACCCCAACCUCAAUUAUAUUUUCCUGUAGAUUCCACUGGUCCCAAGCAAAGGCACAUGGCUAAGGCUAUGUACACAUUGUUGGCUUAAAACGCAGCAAGGUUGUCAUCCCCCACUGCCCUUGAAGUCACACACUUGCAUGUUGCUGUACACACCAGAGAGGGGUGGGAUGUCUUCAUUUCCUAUUUGCGUCCCUUGCCACUGCAACUCCCAGAACUCCGAUGCACGAAGCAGUCAUCUGCACAUGUACAAUGGUUGACUCAAAUGUACGCCCUUCAGCUUAAUGGUGAAGUGACUGUGGCUUAUGUUUCAAAUCAGAUGGAAGCUGGUUUAAGGGGAAAUGCAUCAAAUAGCAGUAUUUUUGAGGAAAAUUCAGGAUAGCUAUGGACUGUAGCUAAUGCCCUUCAAAUACCAGUGGUGGGAAUGCACUGGAGCCAGAGUAAACAGAAUGUCAGAUGUAUGAACCAGACCCUAGUGUGUGUGUCCCCGUCCCCAUCUCCCAAGAGCUGGUUCCUGAAGUUCACAUGCAGAACCAAAUCACAAAGCAGUGUGAGAAGCCUUGCGGACAGGUGUUUUGAAAAAAAUCCCUAUUCUGAGGGAUGGGAGUUCUUCCUCAUCAAACGGCAAUUUGGGGAUGUGGAUGAGAGUGGGGUAGGGGAAGGUGAGUUAAGACUGAGGUGAAAAAUCUGUUGCCUUAGUACAGUAAGGGAGUUUUCCUCAGAAGCUGAAUUCUCAUGGGAAUAAAUCCAAGCUGUCCUGACUUGAUCUAACACUUCCUCUUGCUCCUAGAAAUGAUGUUCAUAAACCAUUUACAGAGCUUGGCGCCUAUGUCAAAUAAAUUCAUCCAAACAUCUUUUGUCACUGCUAUGCUGCAGAGAGAGGGUGGAGAAGCAACAGUACACACUCCCAUGCUCUGUUUAUGGUUGCUGUUACCUGACGGUGACUAUGGUAAUUGUUCCAUGGGGGGGUGGGGAACCCCACGUCAUCAACAGAUACACACAGUAGAGCAGUAGAGCAACCCUCUACAAUGGGGGGGGGGGCUACACAGAGGUCUAGUACAAACACAAAGAGUCAUAAUUUACAUGGGGAAAGUCAUUUGUCAAAAAGGCAAGAAGAGAGAACAGAGCAUCACGUCCAAUGUACAUAUGUAAGUUAAUGUGACUUCCUUCAUGCUCAGGUCUGUGCAGAUUGUACAGUCAGUCCAGCACACCCAGGUAGGGUAAGCCUGAUAAAAGAGGUCACAUUGACCACCCUGCAGCAGAAAGUAUGGCCACCUUUGUCUAUGAAUAACUAAAACAUGUGUGACCAAAGGUCUUCUAUGACUCCAGCUCCAGCCUAGUGCCAGGACUAUCAACACAGAAGGUUCAUAGUACCAGAACUUAACCUAUUCAACCAAGCUUGCUGUAUGUCACAAGCAGAAAACAGGAAUGUUGCACAAAUAUAUCUAUAUGUAAAUAUAACUCAGAUUAAGCAAUAUGUGGUACAAAUGUCAUAACCAGUCCAAUCCUCCUCACCCUGCAUGGAGCCCAGCAGGCUUGUGGGAAACACAGAUUAAGUACAGAAGACAGGUCGAAGAUGCAGGGCCUUUUCUGUUGUGGCCCCCAAGUUAUAGAACUUUCUCCACAACUGCAUGUAAAAAAACCAUUUAUUUCAGACUACUUUUUUUCUUUAAUGAGGUCUCUUAAUGCUGGAGGUUUUAAAUUAAUGUUUUAGUAUUACUAAUUUAUUGGAUUCUAUGCUGCUCAGUUGAUUCAUCCAUCCCACCGAAUCUUGCAUUUACCAGUGCCAUUCAUUAAUAAGGCAAAAAGAAAUGUAAGGUCACUAUUAGAAUGUAGGGAAUCAACGCAGGUUUCUUGAUAAUGUUUUCAAGGGACUGACUAGCUAGCAACCAAACAAAGAAAACUCUUCUGGGAACUAUUGCUGUAAAUUAAAAAGAAGCAAUUUAUUAUUUCUGUCAGCCUCAGCAAUGGGCCUCAGCACUGUUUUGGUUAGGAUGGAUUUUACUGUAGUGUUUACAGCAGAAUGAUGUACAUGUUUGUUUGAAUUACAGUAUUUUGCUAGAUUAUAAUGACUGUGUUCAUUUAUAAUAUAUAGUUUAUAGGGAAUAGCUACUUCAUUUUGAAGGAGCUGAAGACCUGGUGGGGUUGUUUAAAAAUCAGCAAAAUAGCUUUGCUUGUAUAGUCAAAUUGAAACUCUCCUUAUCUAUAUUCCUCAGUAGAAUAUCUCAAUGGGAAGCCAGCCUCAGAAAUUCAAAUUUUCAUUCUAGUUUUCAGUUGCAUGUAGGCAUUCUGCUACGAUUGACACUAGAACCCUCUAACAGCUCAUGAAGAUUACUAAGACUACAGUGAGUACCCAAGAAAUCUGAUGUGCAAUAUACUUUCCUAUACAUGUUCCACGGGAUGCAGGUGGCGCUGUGGUCUAAACCACUGAGCCUACGGCUUGCUGAUCAGAAGGUCGGUGGUUGAAUCCCAGCAACGGGGUGAGCUCCCAUUACUUAGUCCCAGCUCCUGCCAACCUAGCAGUUUGAAAGCAUGUCAAAGUGCAAGUAGAUAAAUAGGUACUGUUCUGGCGGGAAGGUAAAUGGCGUUUCCAUGCGCUGCUCUGGUUUCGCCAGAAGCAGCUUAGUCAUGCUGGCCACAUGACCCAGAAAAAACUGUCUGUGGACAAACGUCGGCUCCCUCGGCCAGUAAAACGAGCGCUGCAACCCCAGAGUUGUUCGCGACUGGACUUAACUGUCAGGGGUCCUUUACCUUUACCUUUUUAUACAAGUUCCACUAUUCAGGGAUGCCAACCUUUUUGAGCUCUUAAGCACAUUUUCAAACUGGAGGUCUUAAGUAAUGCCCUACUGUAGGUGUGGGGAAUCUUUGACUCUACAGAUGUCGCUGAAAUGUAACUCCCAAUAUCGCCACCCACUGGCCAUGCUUUUGGGGGCUGGGAGUUGUGGUUCAACAGCAUCUGGAGGGCCAAAUCUUCCCCCCACACCUGACCUACUGGAUCAUGCCAAAGGCUCAUCUAGACUGCAGCCUUAGAGACUUAGUGGGGCAUCAUAAAUUGUAAAGCUCACAUAAUAUCCUUUGUAUAAGUAUUUAUAAGUUGCUGACUGGCCACUGCAAGGUGUUAAUGGGUUUUGUCUCCAGAGAGCUGGAAUGAAGGCGCUAUUAGGAUUUGUAGUAACAAUAAUAGGCUAUGUGGGGGAAAAACCUGCAUAUGAUGUACACUGGGGUCACAAUACCAAAGUGAGCAAAGAGUGGAUUUGUGGGAAGGUGGAAGGGAAGAAGACUGAAAACUAAAAGCAGUUUAAACGCAUAACAAGUCUUGAUUGCAGCAAAAUGAAAUGUAAGUGGCAAAGAAAGAAAUCAGUUGGUGGCUUUGGGCAAUGCCUUAUUAAAGGAAUUUUCACUGGUGGGGAACAAAUUCCAAACAGCAUUUUUAACUAUAUAAGAUGGCACUUUAAAAUCUUCAUAAAAAUACAUAUCACAUAAACAAAACAAAGACUAUAAUAAAUGUAUUUUAACAAUAAAUGUGACUAAAAUAAAUUUGGCACUUACAUUUCAGAGUGAUCUUCUCUGACUGUUACUCCAGUAUGAAGCAGUUUCGUUCUUUGAGAACUUCUUGCUUCCGCUGUAUCACCACAGUUUAUGGGCAAUAUGCACAUCCCCAGGCCACCAUUUUCAAUUCUCGGAUUUUUUUAUUUUAAAAAUCCUCACAUCAAGCCUCAUGCCUUGAAAAUAACUGAGUCCAUUUUGAUUGGCUGCCUCUUUUGUACAGCAACGCUGGUCAGAUUUUGUCAAAUCCUUCUGUAAUUCAACUUCUUGUGAAGGGGGGGGGAGUGAUUUGCCCUCAUUUUUAGCCAGUACCGGUAUUCUGUUUUGUUUGCACGCACCUCACCUGAGACUCAGGCUGCUCAGCUGCAGGCUGCCAUUUAGGCCUUCCUGUCUCUCACACAGAGGAAGAGUGCUUGCUUGUGCUCUGAUUGGCUCUCCAGUAAAAUCUUCCUCUUGGCCUUUAGGGCUCCCUGUUUAUUAAGAUAGGGCAAGACUUUGCAGGCCAGCGGGAAAUUACUUACAUACAUAAGGAUCUCUCUACAAUCAUGUAGACUAGGGAAAGGGGGUGCUUGGCAAGGGAUUCAAGGAAUGCACAGGAUUCCCAAAGUAGAUGAAAGCAAGUUAACUCUCUUCACAGUGACCUCAAAAGUACUCUCUCAUUUAUUAUGUAUUUAGCAAGGCAGAGUGAGAUUCUCUCCCUUCUCUCAUUCCCUCUUAGCACUAUGAACAAUACAAAAGCCUGAGUAUGGGGAAUUUUCCCAGACUUUUCUGUCUGCUUCCAAUUCUAAGAAAAGAAAAUUAUUGAAGUGGGUGUGUAAAUACCUCCUCAAGUUUUCCUCACAUUUAACAUUCAAGCUUGCAUUCCCCCCCUCCCCAAGGCAGCCCUGUCAUGUCCAUCAGCUCCCAGCUGGGCCUUUAGAGAGGCUUUCAAUGAACUUUCUUGUCAUGUUCCCUGUCUGGGGAAUCUGAAGUUUGGGGGUCAGAGCAAAAAGAGCACCGGAAGGGGAGAGUUGGAGUUUCCUGAGAAGGGACACAGCAAUGGCCAGAGGAGCCCAUGUCUUCAUACUGAAUAAAGAAACUUGGUGAACACAAAAAUGCACGUGAGGAGAAUUCCUUCACUUUUUUAGAUGUUCUAUUAAAAAAAAAGCUUUGGCUUUUGGGUUCAGCUGCUCCCAAGGUCUGGAACAGCAGGCCUUAACUUCCUGAGGGAUCAGCCUCAUUGUGAGGCUUCCAAGAGAGCUCACCAAGCCCUUAAAUCUCUGGGAUGAGGCUUUAAAAAAAUGAAACUUCCAUGCCCAAAGGCAUGAAGAAUUCCCCUCAGCAAAAAGGGUGACCAUAGACCAGUGGUCCCAUUAAUUAGCAAUCCAUUCCCAAAUGUAUUUAUUUGCAAUGGAGCAACAGGCUGUAUACAUACAGUUAACGCUGCAGGGCUGGGGAAGCUGGGAGCCAAAAGAUCCCUUUCUAUUCAGUGUGUUCUAUUACCGUAUGUGCUGAAGACUCUUUCCAGUCAGGCAAAUACGCUCUCUCCCAAGGCCCAGUCCCUCACCCAACACAAUAUUAGGGCUCAUAUACACAGUUUAAAACUCUCCCAUAUACACACAUGGUGUAGGAACAGUUAAUGUAUUAAAUUUUAUUUACACUCUUUGAAUCCUUGAGCGUAAUUGCCCAUCUCAUUAAAAAAAAACCCACCCCCAUCUCCCUACAUGAUUAUGGCCUUUCUCCUUUGAUGCUAGCUUUCCACAGACAGGAAUUUUAGGAGGGGGAACUCCACCAUACAAAAUGAAAUAAUCCCAAGAAACCUGCGCUGUGUGUCAUGUUCCACCCAGAGUUCCAUUACUACAACUGCACAAACUUCCUCACAGUGAGCUGCUGACAUCUUGUGGGCAGAGAUAGUGUUGCAUGCUUAACCUGCUACAGGUCAAACUUAAAUCCUUUAAAAGUGAAGGUGAGCAAGGACAGGUUGAAAAGUCUCUUCUUCACUCUCUUUCCUUUGCAAGGCUGCUGUUUCUUCUUCUCAGCCAUCUUGGUUUUGGUCGGAGAGCUACUUAGAAAUUAAGUAACUCUCCUAUUUUAUUUUAGUUUUUCAGGCACAUAUAUUCUUAGAUGCAGUUGGGUUGCUUUUCCUCAUUCUUGUAUGACCCAGAGAUCCUUGAUAUACACAAUAUUCAUUCAAUUUCAUCUAGAUUUAAUUUGUAACCAGAUAUCCGAGUAAAAACAUCAUUGUCAUUUAGCACCUCCUAGUGAUGUUAGAAUUUAUUGAUGUAAAUAAAUAAUAUAGAGGCUAAUUUUAAUCCUGAUUUCUAUAUAUUCUAUAGUUGCAUAAUAUUUUAACAAGGAGUUCUAUAAGCAUAGUGAACUGCAGUAGAUAUGGGAAGAGGAUAUGGGAACUAUAAAGAUAUGGGUAUCCUUAUCUAAAACCCCUCUAAAAACAAAAAUCACUCAUGAAAUUAUUUCAUCCAUGUUACUUCAUCUUGUUCCUUGACAGUAACAUCAUUCAAUUACAGUGGUACCUAGGUUUAAGUACUUAAUUCGUUCCGGAGGUCCGUACUUAACCUGAAACUGUUCUUAACCUGAAGCACCACUUUAGGUAAUGGGGCCUGCCGCUGCCGCUGCGCCGCCAGAGCACGAUUUCUGUUCUCAUCCUGAAGCAAAGUUCUUAACCUGAAGCACUAUUUCUGGGUUAGCGGAGUCUGUAACCUGAAGCGUACGUAACCUGAGGUACCACUGUAAUGCAGUAACAUCAUCCAAUUAAUGAAGGUUUUCUGUUAAAUAUAUUUCCACCUGACUGCUUCUAAGACCUUCCUGUUCACCUUACAAAAUGCCUCUUGGACAUUUAGGUAGUACAUGUUUCUGAAGGCUUAACUCUGUCCUUAUCCAGAGAGUCAUGCUUGAAAUAGUGGGCUGUACAUGCACUGCUAUGUUCACAUAUCUGAUGGAUGAUGUCAACUCUGCCCAACAGGUUGGGGGGUGGGGGGACAGAUUCAGCAGUCAUCAUGAGUGGUGGUUAAACUACAUUUCAUGCAACUGAAUGGUAAUUACAACUACUUUAUGAAAAGUAGUUCAAAAUGACAUAUAGUCGUACCUUGGAGGUCGAACGGAAUCUGUUCUGGUAGUCCAUUCAACUUCCAAAACGUUCAGAAACCAAAACGUAGCUCCUGAUUGGCUGCCAGAAGCUCCUGCAGCUAACCAGAAGCUGCAGAAGCCCCGUCAGACGUUCGGGUUCCAAAGAACGCUCAAAAACAAGAACACUCACUUCCAGGUUUGCAGUGUCCAGCAGCCAAAACGUCUGAGUACCAAGGUGUUCGGGAUCCAACUGUAUUUUAAAACUAUUUUUGUUUAUCACUACUAGGAGAGGGGGGGACCUGUUAUAUAAACAACUGAUCAUUUACUAUCAUAAUGAACAUUGUGUAUACAUCUCAAGGGCCCUUCCAGGCUGGUGUUUUUUGGCAGGUGCACCCUGCAACCUGUCACUGACACAACAUUAGCGGUGAUUUUUUAUUGAACCAUCCUCACAUCAUUUCACUUUGCUAGUUGUUCUGCAAUGUGAACAACACUGCAUUAUUGCCCUUGGGAGAGACACUCUUGCAUUGUGGCACAACGAAUACAAAAAGCUCUCAGACAUUUGUGGUAUGAACGUUACAUUAUUUUUCUAGGAAACUACAGGACACACAGUAACAGGAAACAAAGCAACAUGUUUGUCGUGAAACGGCUGCAGGGGCAAAGAGGAUAGAAAAAGGUUUUGAGUAUUACUGCACCAACACUAUUGGCACAAAUAAUCACAAAUGCACAGUAAACAAGAUGUCUGGAUGGGCCCAAGAGAAUACAAAAGGAAACACUAAGAAGAAUGCAGGCAUGCCUGCAAUUACCAGCAGAGGGUGUGGCAACCCUUCUAUACUUCCUACACAGUUACCCGCUAGGGACUUGCUCAGUUUGUAGCAUUUCUAAAAGCUAUGGUAUUGAUUAUUCUGGCACGGGGAUGGGAAACCUGUGCCUCUCCACAGGUUGCUGCUUACAGGCUGUGGUGGCUAGUGCCCAUUGAGACUGGUAGCACAGAAGGCAGGGAGACCCACAGGAGGCAGAGCCAAGGAUAGGCCAUUCUAAUUUUGUCUCCAUCCUCCUUUCUCAGAUCUGCAAGGGACAACACUGAGGCUAAGGAAGAGGCUGAUGAGGGAAAUGUCACCCCUUGGAAUGAAUGUAAGUAAGAAGUCAGGUAGGGCCCCAUUCACACUACUGGACCAGCCUCCAUUGCUCCCUUUUCUUAAAGGGUCCCUAUCAGAUUCCUGUGAGUAGGGCUUUCAGUGUGGAAUGAAGAAAGACACGGCCAGCAGCUCAGCCCCGAUCAAAUAGUGCUGAUGAAUACUGCAUUUUAGAUUUUUGUUUUAAUGUUGUGGCUUUUAGAUUUUGUUAGCCACCCUGUGCUCUGUGUGAGAAAGGGGAGGAUAUAAGACAGUAGUCGUAGCAACAGCAGCAGAGGUGUUGUAGUAUUGCUGUUAUUUUUAUUAUUCCCUCCUCAGAAGCGAGAGAGGGCAAGCUAGAUCUCUGUGUGAAAAGAAAACAAGGGUCAGAAUUUUAGCGGACACCCAACUUGUGUAUGUUUUAGAGGAAUAAGCCUCCAAGGGACCUCCUUACAAUAAACCUCCAGUGGUUUCUAAACCACCACCCCUCUUUCCAUCCAAGUAUAUCAAGAAGCAUAAUCACAAUUGAAGGAAACAUCCCAAGCAGGAAAAAGCACCUGAGGAGUAGAAGACAGGCCCUAAAUCACCAAAGAGGAAGAGAACUUUCAGUCCUCCUUUCUGCUCUGUCCCUGAGUGUUGUAUUCUAGAUAUGAUACCCCUUAAAGACAGAAGCAUCACAAUGAAAUAGAAAGUAAAACAGAGUCUGGGAGUCAUUUAGUGACAAUCAGCAUUUUCCAUACUCAAGAGUUUGUAGCUAUUUUAUUGCACUUGAAACACCAAGAAUAAAACUGACAAUCCCCAUCUCCCCCACCCCAAAAAUAUAGCAUAAAUUUUUAGCAGUGAUCAUUUUGUUCACAGCCACAGCUUCAAAAAACUGGAACAAUGAAUCCAACACAGUCACACCGCUUUACAGGUCUGAUUCACUUACAAAAGAUACUGAAGGAUUUUGGAAUAUUCCAGCCACAUCAAGUUAACAAACAUGAGAGGGACGCUCUCUGACUGUUUUGUUUGUUUACAUUACAAAGCUGCUUUUUUUUUCUUCCCUUCUUUUUUGUGAUUUUUUUUUUUUUUGCAUUCAUGUGAAAUAA